rnacentral:rRNA from 1 species
CCUACGGGAGGCAGCAGUGGGGAAUCUUGCGCAAUGGGCGAAAGCCUGACGCAGCCAUGCCGCGUGAAUGAUGAAGGUCUUAGGAUUGUAAAAUUCUUUCACCGGGGACGAUAAUGACGGUACCCGGAGAAGAAGCCCCGGCUAACUUCGUGCCAGCAGCCGCGGUAAUACGAAGGGGGCUAGCGUUGCUCGGAAUUACUGGGCGUAAAGGGAGCGUAGGCGGAUAGUUUAGUCAGAGGUGAAAGCCCAGGGCUCAACCUUGGAAUUGCCUUUGAUACUGGCUAUCUUGAGUAUGGGAGAGGUUAGCGGAACUCCGAGUGUAGAGGUGAAAUUCGUAGAUAUUCGGAAGAACACCAGUGGCGAAGGCGGCUAACUGGCCCAUUACUGACGCUGAGGCUCGAAAGCGUGGGGAGCAAACAGGAUUAGAUACCCUGGUAGUCCACGCCGUAAACGAUGAGUGCUAGUUGUCGGCAUGCAUGCAUGUCGGUGACGCAGCUAACGACAUAAGACACUCCGCCGUCGGGAGGUACGGUCGCGAGAAUUAAACUACAAUAGAAGUUAGACGGCGUGAGACGUGCCGAACGGACGACCGACGAGGGAGGUAGG